AUGUGAUUAGCUCAGUUGGUUAGAGCGUUGCGUUAAUAUCCUAGCAAGAUGUCUGUUCUGGGUUCGAUCCCUACGAUCAUGUC